GCACUACCGAGAAGUCCCACAAUAGGACGAAACGGCCGUCCAGUGU
rfam:Schistosoma mansoni strain Puerto Rico chromosome 1, complete genome